rfam:Rattus norvegicus chromosome 16, whole genome shotgun sequence.
GGGGAUUUGGCUCAGAGGUAGAGCGCUUGCCUAGCAAGCACAAGGCCCUGGGUUCGGUCCCCAGCUCCG